rnacentral:rRNA from 1 species
GACGAACGCUGGCGGCGUGCUUAACACAUGCAAGUCGAACGGAAAGGCCCUGCUUUUGUGGGGUGCUCGAGUGGCGAACGGGUGAGUAACACGUGAGUAACCUGCCCUUGACUUUGGGAUAACUUCAGGAAACUGGGGCUAAUACCGGAUAGGAGCUCCUGCUGCAUGGCGGGGGUUGGAAAGUUUCGGCGGUUGGGGAUGGACUCGCGGCUUAUCAGCUUGUUGGUGGGGUAGUGGCUUACCAAGGCUUUGCCGGGUAGCCGGCCUGAGAGGGGGACCGGCGACAUUGGGACUGAGAUACAGCCCAGACUCCAACGGGAGGCAGCAGUGGGGAAUAUUGCACAAUGGGCGGAAGCCUAAUGCAGCAACGCCGCGUGCGGGAUGUCGGCUUUCGGGUUGUAAACCGCUUUCGCCUGUGACGAAGCGUGUGUGACGGUAAUGGGUAAAGAAGCACCGGCUAACUACGUG